UGAUCCUGGCUCAGGACGAACGCUGGCGGCGUGCUUAACACAUGCAAGUCUAAGGAGAAAGUUCCUUCGGGAGCGAGUAAACUGGCGAACGGGUGAGUAACGCGUAGGUAACCUACCCUUAAGUUUGGGAUAACCCACCGAAAGGUGAGCUAAUACCGGAUAAUAUCUUUCCUCAUAAGGGGAAAAGAUCAAAGGUGGCUUCGGCUAUCACUUAUGGAUGGGCCUGCGUCUGAUUAGCUAGUUGGUAGGGUAACGGCCUACCAAAGCGAUGAUCAGUAGCUGGUCUGAGAGUGCGAUCAGCCACAUUGGGACUGAGAUACGGCCCAGACUCCUACGGGAGGCAGCAGUGGGGAAUUUUGCGCAAUGAGCGAAAGCUUGACGCAGCAACGCCGCGUGAUCGAAGAAGCUCAGCGGAGUGUAAAGAUCUGUCGUGAGGGAAGAAUAACUUGGAUGCAAAUAGUUUUCAAGUCUGGCGGUACCUCACAAGAAAGCACCGGCUAACUUCGUGCCAGCAGCCGCGGUAAUACGAGGGGUGCUAGCGUUGUCCGGAAUCAUUGGGCGUAAAGGGUCCGUAGGUGUCUUUGCAAGUCGUUUGUUACAUCCACCGGCUUAACCGGUGGACUGCAAUCGAAACUGCAAGGAUAGAGUUCGAGAGAGGAAAGUGGAAUUCCUGGUGUAGCGGUGACAUGCGUAGAUAUCAGGAGGAACACCAAUGGCGAAGGCAGCUUUCUGGCUCGAUACUGACACUGAGGGACGAAAGCGUGGGGAGCGAACAGGAUUAGAUACCCUGGUAGUCCACGCCGUAAACGAUGAGUACUUGAUGUCGGAGGAUUCGACCCCUUCGGUAUCGUAGCUAACGCGUUAAGUACUCCGCCUGGGGACUACGGCCGCAAGGCUGAAACUCAAAGGAAUUGACGGGGGCCCGCCCAAGCGGUGGAACAUGUGGUUUAAUUCGAUGCAACGCGAAGAACCUUACCUGGUCUUGACAUCCUCGGACCGCUUCAGAGAUGAAGUUUCCUCUUCGGAGGCCGAGGGACAGGGGCUGCAUGGCUGACGUCAGCUCGUGUCGUGAGAUGUUGGGUUAAGUCCCGCAACGAGCGCAACCCCUACCCUUAAUUGCCAUCGGGUUAUGCCGGGCACUUUAGGGGGACUGCCGGUGACAAGCCGGAGGGGGGGGGGGAUGACGUCAAGUCCUCAUGGCCUUUAUGACCAGGGCUACACACGUGUUACAAUGGGAGUUACAGAGGGAAGCUAAACCGCGAGGUCAUGCCAAUCCCAGAAAAACUUUCUCAGUUCGGAUCGCAGUCUGCAACUCGACUGCGUGAAGCUGGAAUCGCUAGUAAUCGCGGAUCAGCACGCCGCGGUGAAUACGUUCCCGGGCCUUGUACACACCGCCCGUCACACCAUGGGAGCCGACAAGGGCAGAAGUCGCCGAGCUAACCUUCGGGAAGCAGGCGCCCAAGCUGUUGUUGACGACUGGGGUGAAGUCGUAACAAGGUAGCC
rnacentral:rRNA from 1 species